AGCCCCGAGGUGUCAACAUAUUAGAUUGCAAAUCUAAAGUAGUAGGAUAGCCCUCCUGCCGGGGCUU
rnacentral:tRNA from 1 species